AAACUAAUUUCGAUAUGAUUAGAAUAAGGAAUGAGGCUGGUAUGCUUCUGGAAGUACGACUUUUGAAUCGACGAUCAGUUCUGUUAAACUUGAUAUUCAAGUAUCUAGAAAAUAAAUUUCGUGAUUUUUCGAUAUCAUUUGCCUAGUGAUUGAAAGGGCUCAAAAUCAAUAAUUUUAAUGACCGUAGUGAGCCGUUUGCAAGUUUAACGGUGUAGAAAUAUUCAAAUCACAAGAAAUUUUAAUAGAAAAUUCUUUAUACUGUAUAAAAUGAGAGCAAUAUCUUUGAUUUAAAAUUUUAAUAUCAUAUCAUCAUAUUUUGUAAUAUUUUUAUUUCUAGCCGUUAAUUUUGAGCUCUUUCGAUCACUAGGCAAAUUAUAUAUUUCAAAUACUUUAGACCAAAUCUAACGGAGCUGAUGUCGAUUCGGAUGUCCUAAUAUCGAAAUCGACUUGAAAGUACGAAGAACUCCGUACUUUCAUAAGCAUGCUAGCUUCACUCUUGAGUAAGUAUAUUACAUCUAAUUAUAAUUUAUUUAUUUUACUCAGGCAAUAUUACAUCUAUU
rnacentral:lncRNA from 1 species